rnacentral:rRNA from 1 species
CAGCCGCCACGGGAAUACAGAGGGUGCGAGCGUUAAUCGGAUUUACUGGGCGUAAAGCGUGCGUAGGCGGCUUCUUAAGUCGGAUGUGAAAUCCCUGAGCUUAACUUAGGAAUUGCAUUCGAUACUGGGAAGCUAGAGUAUUGGAGAGGAUGGUAGAAUUCCAGGUGUAGCGGUGAAAUGCGUAGAGAUCUGGAGGAAUACCGAUGGCGAAGGCAGCCAUCUGGCCUAAUACUGACGCUGAGGUACGAAAGCAUGGGGAGCAAACAGGAUUAGAUACCCCCGUAGUCCCUGUCUCUUAUAC